rnacentral:rRNA from 3 species
CCUAUGGGGUGCAGCAGUCGCGAAAACUUUGCAAUACACGAAAGUGUGACAGGGCUAUCCCGAGUGCCAUCCGCUGAGGAAGGCUUUUACCCAGUCUAGAACGCUGGGGGAAUAAGGAGAGGGCAAGUCUGGUGUCAGCCGCCGCGGUAAUACCAGCUCUCCGAGUGGUGUGGAUGUUUAUUGGGCCUAAAGCAUCCGUAGCUGGCUAAGUUAGUCCCCUGUUAAAUCCAACGAAUUAAUCGUUGGAUCGCGGGGGAUACUGCUUGGCUAGGGGACGAGAGAGGCAGACGGUAUUUCCGGGGUAGGGGUGAAAUCCUAUAAUCCCGGGAAGACCACCAGUGGCGAAGGCUGUCUGCUAGAACGCGCCCGACGGUGAGGGAUGAAAGCUGGGGGAGCGAACCGGAUUAGAUACCCCCGUAGUCC